rnacentral:rRNA from 1 species
GACGAACGCUGGCGGCGUGCUUAACACAUGCAAGUCGAACGGAAAGGCCCUGCUUUUGUGGGGUGCUCGAGUGGCGAACGGGUGAGUAACACGCGAGCAACCUGCCCUUGACUUUGGGAUAACUUCAGGAAACUGGGGCUAAUACCGGAUAGGAGCUCCUGCUGCAUGGUGGGGGUUGGAAAGUUUCGGCGGUUGGGGAUGGACUCGCGGCUUAUCAGCUUGUUGGUGGGGUAGUGGCUUACCAAGGCUUUGACGGGUAGCCGGCCUGAGAGGGUGACCGGCCACAUUGGGACUGAGAUACGGCCCAGACUCCUACGGGAGGCAGCAGUGGGGAAUAUUGCACAAUGGGCAGAAGCCUGAUGCAGCAACGCCGCGUGCGGGAUGACGGCCUUCGGGUUGUAAACCGCUUUCGCCUGUGACGAAGCGUGAGUGACGGUAAUGGGUAAAGAAGCACCGGCUAACUACGUG